AUUGAGUUGCAUUAUUUUUGAAGAAGAUAUAUAUGAGUGAAAAUCUAAUGAUUGUUAAUGCGAAAACUAUAAUUAGGAGAUGCUAUCUUUUGUGUUUGAUUUUCCAAAAUUGUAGGCCUGAUUUUUGCAAAAUUAUGAACUUAUAUUUGCCAUCAUCAGCUCCAGAAUUUGAGGGAUUAUUAUGGGCUGUCAAAGGGAUUUUGUCCCUUAUCAAAACCAACACAUGGUUUAACAUAACAAAAGCCUAAUAUAUCAUUUAGCAGGCCCUGGCUUAACUCAUCCAAACAGUCUCAAUCACAUCUGAUGAAGCUUUUAAUGGUAGCUAAUGUCAAUAAUGCAACGAUAUAUAAUUCAUGCAUCAUUCAACCACUUGGCUUUGAAACUACAAGUGAAACAAUGCACAACACUGAACAUUAAGCAACGACCGGCCUUGAUAAAUAAACAUAUCAUCAUCUAGGAAUCUUCAAACUUUAUCAAUAUUUGGUUCAUCUGUGGUUGAUGUUUCCUGACCUUGACACUAGCCAUAGAUAGUAGCUUGUGUGAAGCAACGUAGUUUGUGUCAGAGUUACUUAAAUUCUUCUCUACAAAAUAUAUAACUUCAGAUACACCUGACUGAAUGAUUAUCUUGGCACAUUCAUUGCAAGGGAACAUGGUCACGUAAAGCUUCUGCCCUGCAGCAGAAGCAUGGUUUUUGUUCAGGAUAGCAUUAACUUCAGCAUGACAAACAUAAGGAUACUUAGUCUCCAAAGGAUUCCCAGUUUUAGAUUUCUUUGCCCAAGGAAGUUUGUCAUCUGAGCAACCUCUUGGAAAUCCAUUAUAGCCAAUGCCUAUGGCAAUGAAAUUAGUACAAGUGAAAUACAUCAAAUUAUAUCAUCACUAAAAGCAGCCUAUUCAUGUACACUAGAACCCAUAAGACUACUCCAUAUGCAAUGGCAGAAAUAUAUAUUUAAGCAAUAUAUCAGUAACAUUUCCUUACAAAUUACAGUACCACUUAACUUGCUUGUUAUGGUACUCCAGGCCAUAGGAACUCAAGUAAAUACAGCUCUUACAUUUUCUUGAGAUAAUGAUAUAAACAUUAACAAAUAAAAAUACAACAACGCAAUAAGCAAAAGCAAUUGUUGACAAUUUGAUUAGAGUAAGAGUUUGGUACUUAAAUUACCAAUAGGAUUGCAUACACGUUUGUUCACCCAGCAACACAAGAAUCUAACAUUAUGCUCCUGUUAAAGCUGUCGCUUUGCUAUCCAUAUCACCAACAUGAUUCACUUCAAAUAAAUCUCAGGCAAUGCAAGCAUACAUAUAGCAAUGAACCCAAAUAAAUGCACCAACGCUGCUUUCCAUUAGAAGUAAAACGCAAGACUUAUCUUAGAAAAACAAAGCCAGCUUAUUAAUUGGAUGCAGAUCUUACACCAAAAUGAGCUUACCAAGAAUAACUUCAUUUUGACUGACCAAGCAUGCACCAACCUGCCUGUUUGGAUCUUUGGAUCGUUCAGCCGACAAAAAAGCAAUUGCCAUAAAAUAAUCGUCCCAUGACAAGUAUCCUUGGCGCUUGGAGGGAUCAAACGGGCUCUGAGAAGAGCAUUUCUUCGAAACGGCAGACGAAUCGAUUCGGGGAAAGUGCUUUUUCUGGUUGAAGAAAAAGAAGCGAGCCGCAAGAGCAGAUGCCAGUGCACCGAAAACCGUUGCUGUAGAGAGAAGAACAAGCUCUCGAGAAUUCAUGCAGUUUGUCAACAGAUAAAAAUACGGGAAAAUUCCGAGGAAAUUGCUUUCUCUUUCGCAAAAAUUUGAUACCUGCUGUUGAGAUCUAAAGCCGCCAAUAUAAGUGAAAAAGAAAAUAGCGGGAAGAAGGGAAAGCUAUAGAUUCCAUUUCCAUCCCCA
rnacentral:misc_RNA from 1 species